UUAGCAGAGUCCUUAACAGGUGUGGUAUUGUCAUUUUUGCACGGCGUGCCUUUCCGUCCUUUGGCUCCUCUGCUUGAAGUUUCUGCAGUUGUUGUUGUCGUCACUGAACUUUUUGAAGGUUCUGCUGUUGUCACGGAGCUUUUUGAAGGUUCUGCAGCUGUUGUUGUCGUCACGGAACUUUUUGAAGGUUCUGCAGCUGUUGUUGUCGUCACGGAACUUUUUGAAGGUUCUGCUGUUGUCACGGAGCUUUUUGAAGGUUCUGCCAGGGAGAGUGCAAUCGCCUGCAUAUGGCGAAGAAUCGUAAGUGGAAAAAGGAU
rnacentral:lncRNA from 1 species